CGUGAAAUUGUUGAAAGGGAAGCGCUUGUGACCAGACUUGCGUCCGGUGAAUCACCCAGCUCUCGCGGCUGGGGCACUUCGCCGGCACAGGCCAGCAUCAGCUUGCCGUCGGGGACAAAAGCUUCAGGAACGUAGCUCUCUUCGGGGAGUGUUAUAGCCUGUUGCAUAAUACCCUUCGGCGGGCUGAGGUACGCGCUCCGCAAGGAUGCUGGCGUAAUGGUCAUCAGCGACCCGUCUUGAAACACGG
rnacentral:rRNA from 1 species